rnacentral:misc_RNA from 1 species
UCGGCUCACCAACCGUGCCUGGAAUUACUACGUUCCCACUCACAAGGACAUGCCAAGAGACUUCAGGGUCAAGCUGCUCAAGAACAACAGGAAUCCGGUCGGAAUAUUCAACUCCAAGGCCACGGGCGAGCCGGCAGUCUGCAUGAGCGUGGCCUGCCUGCUGGCGCUGCGCCAAGCCGUGGCCGAGGCGCGCCGAGAGGCCAGCCUUCACGCCUGGUUCCAGUUCGAUUCGCCAGCAACGCCCGAAAGGACGCAGAUGGCGUGCGACGUGGGGGUCGAAGAGCUCGUGCUGGCCUAGAGGGGCCGCGCCGCUCCUGCUGGCCGGGGUGUUCGCUCGACCACAGAUCAUCCCGGCUGCCGGCGGCCUGCACGUGGUCCAGCAGGUGUCGCACGCCCUCCCGACCAGUCCCGGCUGUCGGCAGCCUGCACGUGGUCCAGCAGGUGUCGUGCGCCCUCCCGAUCAGUCCCGGCUGCCGGCGGCCUGCACGUGAUGUGGCGGGUGUCGUGCGUCCUCCCGACCAGUCCCGGCAGCAGCGUGCGGCGGGCCUCGGCUACGCAGCAAUCGUCGCCGAAGCAGCCGUGCACAGUGCGCUCAUGUCAUGUAUUGCAUUCAUACAAUGGAUUCCAACAGACACACGGGCAAACACAGCUGAACUCGUGUACCUCAUUUGUAAGUGCUCGCCAGUACACGGAAUACAUACUCUUGGA